GAUAAGGUUAAGUGAAUAAGGGCGCACGGUGGAUGCCUUGGCACUAGGAGCCGAUGAAGGACGGGACUAACACCGAUAUGCUUUGGGGAGCUGUACGUAAGCUAUGAUCCAGAGAUUUCCGAAUGGGGGAACCCAGCAUCUUUAAUAGGAUGUUACGAUUGUGUGAAUACAUAGCACAUUCGAGGUAGACGCAGAGAACUGAAACAUCUAAGUACCUGCAGGAAGAGAAAGAAAAUUCGAUUCCCUGAGUAGCGGCGAGCGAAACGGGAAAAGCCCAAACCAGCAAGCUUGCUUGUUGGGGUUGUAGGACUCCAAUAUGGUAGUUCUUUCAGAUAGUCGAAUGACUUGGAAAAGUCAGUCAAAGAGGGUAAAAACCCCGUAGACGAAAUGUGGAAGACACCUAGGAGGAUCCUGAGUACGGCGGAACACGAGAAAUUCCGUCGGAAUCCGGGAGGACCAUCUCCCAAGGCUAAAUACUCCCUAGUGACCGAUAGUGAACCAGUACCGUGAGGGAAAGGUGAAAAGCACCCCGGAAGGGGAGUGAAAUAGAACCUGAAACCGUGUGCCUACAACAAGUCAAAGCCCGUUAAUGGGUGAUGGCGUGCCUUUUGUAGAAUGAACCGGCGAGUUACGAUUGCAUGCGAGGUUAAGUUGAAGAGACGGAGCCGCAGCGAAAGCGAGUCUGAAUAGGGCGUUUGAGUAUGUAGUCGUAGACCCGAAACCAUUGAAUCUACCCAUGUCCAGGUUCAAGUUGCGGUAACACGCACUGGCGGACCGAACCCACGUACGUUGAAAAGUGCGGGGAUGAGGUGUUGGU
rnacentral:rRNA from 1 species